rnacentral:rRNA from 1 species
AAUACCGCAUAACAUUGUACGUUCGCAUGAAGCAAUAAUUAAAGGAGUAAUCCGCUUUGAGAUGGACCCGCGGCGCAUUAGCUAGUUGGAGAGGUAACGGCUCACCAAGGCAACGAUGCGUAGCCGACCUGAGAGGGUGAUCGGCCACAUUGGAACUGAGACACGGUCCAGACUCCUACGGCGCCCGCCGCGCGGCAGG